rnacentral:rRNA from 1 species
UCAUAUGCUUGUUUCAAAGGUUAAGCCAUGCAUGUGUAAGUCCUUCCCUUGGAUGCCACAGUGCGAAAGCAUUGCGAGCUAUCGAUACAUACGGUAAAACUGCGGAUGGCUCAGUAUUAACGGUCAGAAGACCCAGGGUAAGCCUUGGAAAGUAUCGAAAAUAAACAAAAUAAGGCAUUUUCCAUAUACAUGGAUAACUGUGGCAAUUCUAGAGCUAAUACAUGCCCGAAACGAAAGCACCUGCCCGGCUCUCUCACCAGUGAAGAGGCCGUAAGUGGGGCUUCGUACUUUAUUACAAAAAGACCAAUCGCCAAUGUUUCGACUCGCGCACGUGCACCGAAUCCUCGGUCGCCGCGCGCUUGCUCGCAAACAAAAAAAAAAACCCCCGUUGAUGAAUCAGUAUAACAUGUUUCGCGAUCGCUAAGGCCUCAGCGCCGGCGACGCACCCUAUUGCAAGUCUGCCUUAUCACACUAGAUGGCCAGUACGGGGCGAGCCAUGGUGGUAACGGGUGACGGGGAAUCAGGGUUUNNNUCCGGAGAGGGAGCCUGAGAGAUUGCUACUACAUCCAAGGAAGGCAGCAGGCACGCAACUUACCCACUCCCGACACGGGGAGGUAGUGACGAUAAAUAACAAUACGGGACUCUUCCGAGGCCCCGUAAUUGGAAUGAGCACACUCUAAAUCCUUUAACUAGGAUCCAUUGGAGGGCAAGUCUGGUGCCAGCAGCCGCGGUAAUUCCAGCUCCAAUGGCGUAUAUUAAACUUGUUGCGGUUAAAAAGCUCGUAGCUGGAUCUGGGUUCUAGUGCCGGCAGCCCUGGCUUAGCUCGGUGGAGCGGCUGGGACCAAACUGUCGAUAAAAUUUCCGACGGAAAUUGCACUGAACAAAAAUAGUACGACUAUUUUGACCGGCCUCUCUCGUCAUGCUCUUUACUGAGUGUCUCGGGUGGGCCGGAACGUUUACUUUGAAUAAAUCAGAGUGCUCAAAGCAGGCGACUUUGCUCGGCCUGAAUGAUACAGCAUGGAAUAAUAGAACAAGCCCUCGGUUUGAUUCUGGUUGGUCUUACGAAUGACGAGGAAAUGAUUAAUAGGGACUGACGGGGGCAUACGUAUUGCGGCGCGAGAGGUGAAAUUCUAGGACCGUCGCAAGACGACCGACUGCGAAAGCAUUUGCCAAGAAUGUUUUCAUUAGUCAAGAACGAAAGUUAGAGGUUCGAAGGCGAUCAGAUACCGCCCUAGUUCUAACCAUAAAUGAUGCCAACCAGCAAUGUGUCGAGUUCCUCCAAUGACUCGACAUGAAGCUUCCGGGAAACCAAAGUUUUUGGGUUCCGGGGGAAGUAUGGUUGCAAAGCUGAAACUUAAAGGAAUUGACGGAAGGGCACCACCAGGAGUGGAGCCUGCGGCUUAAUUUGACUCAACACGGGAAAACUCACCCGGCCCGGACACUGGAAGGAUUGACAGAUUGAGAGCUCUUUCUUGAUUCAGUGGUUGGUGGUGCAUGGCCGUUCUUAGUUGGUGGAACGAUUUGUCUGGUUAAUUCCGAUAACGAACGAGACCCUCGCCUACUAAAUAGACGACCGACGGGCCUGACUCGUCCGGUACGAUCUCUUCUUAGAGGGACAGGCGGCUUACGCCGCACGAAACUGGGCAAUAACAGGUCUGUGAUGCCCUUAGAUGUCCGGGGCCGCACGCGCGCUACAAUGAAGGGAUCAGCGGGUGCAUUAUCCCCAGUCCGAAAGGACCGGGUAAUCCGCUGAAACCCCUUCGUGAUUGGAAUCGGGGUUUGCAACUUUUCCCCAUGAACGAGGAAUUCCCAGUAAGCGCGGGUCAUAAACCGGCGCUGAUUACGUCCCUGCCCUUUGUACACACCGCCCGUCGCUACUACCGAUUGAAUGAUUUAGUGAGGUCUUUGGACCGGUGUUCGCCGGGUCGAGAUCCUCCGGGGUCGCCAAAGACUCGGCGUCGUACGCUGGAAAGAUGACCGAACUUGAUUAUUUAGAGGAAGUAAAAGUCGUAACAAGGUUUCC